rnacentral:rRNA from 1 species
AUUGAACGCUGGCGGCAUGCCUUACACAUGCAAGUCGAACGGCAGCACGGGUGCUUGCACCUGGUGGCGAGUGGCGAACGGGUGAGUAAUACAUCGGAACAUGUCCUGUAGUGGGGGAUAGCCCGGCGAAAGCCGGAUUAAUACCGCAUACGAUCCACGGAUGAAAGCGGUGGACCUUCGGGCCUCGCGCUAUAGGGUUGGCCGAUGGCUGAUUAGCUAGUUGGUGGGGUAAAGGCCUACCAAGGCGACGAUCAGUAGCUGGUCUGAGAGGACGACCAGCCACACUGGGACUGAGACACGGCCCAGACUCCUACGGGAGGCAGCAGUGGGGAAUUUUGGACAAUGGGCGAAAGCCUGAUCCAGCAAUGCCGCGUGUGUGAAGAAGGCCUUCGGGUUGUAAAGCACUUUUGUCCGGAAAGAAAUCCUUGACUCUAAUACAGUCGGGGGAUGACGGUACCGGAAGAAUAAGCACCGGCUAACUACGUG